rfam:Penicillium solitum strain IBT 29525 PENSOL_contig003, whole genome shotgun sequence.
UUCUCUUUGCCUUCUGGCUUAGAUCAAGUGUAGUACCUGUUCUUAUCAGUUUAAUCGCUGAUAGUUCUGCCCUACAGGACACCCCGAUUAAUCCAAUUUUUCGCACUCGCGACUUGGCCUCUGUGCUUGCAUACGCCCGUUGCACUGUGUCACUGGGCUUAUACUGCUCCCAGUUGAUGCGAACCCUC